rnacentral:rRNA from 1 species
AUUGAACGCUGGCGGCAGGCCUAACACAUGCAAGUCGAACGGUAACAGGAAGAAGCUUGCUUCUUUGCUGACGAGUGGCGGACGGGUGAGUAAUGUCUGGGAAACUGUCCGUUGGAGGGGGAUAACUACUGGAAACGGUAACUAAUACAGCAUAACGUCGCAAGACCAAAGAGGGGGACCUUCUGGCCUCUUGCCAUCGGAUGUGCCCAGAUGGGAUUAGCUAGUAGGCGGGGUAACGGCUCACCCAGGCGACGAUCCCUAGCUGGUCUGAGAGGAUGACCAGCCACACUGGAACUGAGACACGGUCCAGACUCCUACGGGAGGCAGCAGUGGGGAAUAUUGCACAAUGGGCGCAAGCCUGAUGCAGCCAUGCCGCGUGGAUGAAGAAGGCCUUCGGGUUGUAAAGCACUUUCGUCGGGGAGGAAGAGAGUAAAGUUAAUACCUUGGCUCAUUGACGUUACCCACAGAAGAAGCACCGGCUAACUCCGUG